AAAGUCUAAAAUAACCUUUGUGAAAUAUCAAAACAUUCGCAAAACGCUUUAUGUUGAAACUUAAACAUAGAAUUGAAAUCACUGGUAGUAUUAUAAACAUUUUCCUCGAAAAGCUUCUUUUUGUCACAAGAGCACUGCGUGGGGCCACAAGAAAUUGAACGCAAAAUUCUUCUUGGUGUGAAUAAAUCGUGGUUUGAUUCGACCUCUUCAACACCAGUUGAGAAAGAUCUUCAAAGAAAAAAAAUUGGCACAAUAACAUUAUUCCCACUGAGUAACAAUGGCACGUGUUCACAUUCUGCUUUGUGUUUAUAUAUAGGCAUAAAGGUUACUAUGGCUGCGCGUGUGUUGAAAUUUUAUACAAU